rnacentral:rRNA from 1 species
GAUGAACGCUGGCGGCGUGCCUCAAACAUGCAAGUCGAGCGGGGCUAUGUAAUAUCGCAAGGUAGAACAUAGCCUAGCGGCGAACGGGUGAGUAACACGUGGGUAACCUGCCUGGAAGACAGGGAUAACGAUUCGAAAGGGUCGCUAAUACCUGAUAAUAUCCUUUCAUCGCAUGGUGAUAGGAAGAAAGGGGAAACCCGCUUUCAGAUGGGCCCGCGUCCCAUCAGCUAGUUGGUAAGGUAAAGGCUUACCAAGGCGACGACGGGUAGCCGGUCUGAGAGGAUGUACGGCCACACUGGGACUGAGAUACGGCCCAGACUCCUACGGGAGGCAGCAGUUGGGAAUCUUAGGCAAUGGACGAAAGUCUGACCUAGCGACGCCGCGUGAGGGAAGAAGGCCUUCGGGUUGUAAACCUCUGUCAUGGGGGAAGAAGUAAGUGACGGUACCCCAAGAGGAAGCCCCGGCUAACUAUGUG